GACGAACGCUGGCGGCGUGCUUAACACAUGCAAGUCGAACGGAAAGGCCCUGCUUUUGUGGGGUGCUCGAGUGGCGACCGGGUGAGUAACACGUGAGUAACCUGCCCUUGACUUUGGGAUAACUUCAGGAAACUGGGGCUAAUACCGGAUAGGAGCUCCUGCUGCAUGGUGGGGGUUGGAAAGUUUCGGCGGUUGGGGAUGGACUCGCGGCUUAUCAGCUUGUUGGUUGGGUAGUGGCUUACCAAGGCUUGGACGGGUAGCCGGCCUGAGAGGGUGACCGGCCACAUUGGGACUGAGAUACGGCCCAGACUCCUCCGGGAGGCAGCAGUGGGGAAUAUUGCACAAUGGGCGGAAGCCUGAUGCAGCCACGCCGCGUGCGGGAUGACGGCCUUCGGGUUGUAAACCGCUUUCGCCUGUGACGAAGCGUGAGUGACGGUAAUGGGUAAAGAAGCACCGGCUAACUACGUG
rnacentral:rRNA from 1 species